rnacentral:rRNA from 1 species
CGGAGGAGCACGAAGGUUGGCUAAUCCUGGUCGGACAUCAGGAGGUUAGUGCAAUGGCAUAAGCCAGCUUGACUGCGAGCGUGACGGCGCGAGCAGGUGCGAAAGCAGGUCAUAGUGAUCCGGUGGUUCUGAAUGGAAGGGCCAUCGCUCAACGGAUAAAAGGUACUCCGGGGAUAACAGGCUGAUACCGCCCAAGAGUUCAUAUCGACGGCGGUGUUUGGCACCUCGAUGUCGGCUCAUCACAUCCUGGGGCUGAAGUAGGUCCCAAGGGUAUGGCUGUUCGCCAUUUAAAGUGGUACGCGAGCUGGGUUUAGAACGUCGUGAGACAGUUCGGUCCCUAUCUGCCGUGGGCGCUGGAGAACUGAGGGGGGCUGCUCCUAGUACGAGAGGACCGGAGUGGACGCAUCACUGGUGUUCGGGUUGUCAUGCCAAUGGCACUGCCCGGUAGCUAAAUGCGGAAAAGAUAAGUGCUGAAAGCAUCUAAGCACGAAACUUGCCCCGAGAUGAGUUCUCCCUGAGACUUAGAGUCUCCUGAAGGAACGUUGAAGACGACGACGUUGAUAGGCCGGGUGUGUAAGCACAGCGAUGCGUUGAGCUAACCGGUACUAAUGAACCGUGAGGCUUAACCUUACAACGCCGAAG